rnacentral:pre_miRNA from 1 species
UCUCUGAUCCAGAGUUGGGCCACGGCGAACAGUCCUUCCGACAGAUGGCAAUGACUAGAACCGUGUCUCAGCUAGGGCAUCGGAGA